AUAGGGGAGCCGGAGGGAAACCGAGUCUUAAUUGGGCGUUAAGUUGCAGGGUAUAGACCCGAAACCCGGUGAUCUAGCCAUGGGCAGGUUGAAGGUUGGGUAACACUAACUGGAGGACCGAACCGACUAAUGUUGAAAAAUUAGCGGAUGACCUGUGGCUGGGGGUGAAAGGCCAAUCAAACCGGGAGAUAGCUGGUUCUCCCCGAAAGCUAUUUAGGUAGCGCCUCGUGAAUUCAUCUCCGGGGGUAGAGCACUGUUUCGGCUAGGGGGCCAUCCCGGCUUACCAACCCGAUGCAAACUGCGAAUACCGGAGAAUGUUAUCACGGGAGACACACGGCGGGUGCUAACGUCCGUCGUGAAGAGGGAAACAACCCAGACCGCCAGCUAAGGUCCCAAAGUCAUGGUUAAGUGGGAAACGAUGUGGGAAGGCCCAGACAGCCAGGAUGUUGGCUUAGAAGCAGCCAUCAUUUAAAGAAAGCGUAAUAGCUCACUGGUCGAGUCGGCCUGCGCGGAAGAUGUAACGGGGCUAAACCAUGCACCGAAGCUGCGGCAGCGACACUCAGGUGUUGUUGGGUAGGGGAGCGUUCUGUAAGCCUGCGAAGGUGGCCUGUGAGGGUUGCUGGAGGUAUCAGAAGUGCGAAUGCUGACAUAAGUAACGAUAAAGCGGGUGAAAAGCCCGCUCGCCGGAAGACCAAGGGUUCCUGUCCAACGUUAAUCGGGGCAGGGUGAGUCGACCCCUAAGGCGAGGCCGAAAGGCGUAGUCGAUGGGAAACGGGUUAAUAUUCCCGUACUUGGUGUUACUGCGAAGGGGGGACGGAGAAGGCUAUGUUGGCCGGGCGACGGUUGUCCCGGUUUAAGCGUGUAGGUGUGUGUUCCAGGUAAAUCCGGUUCACUUUAACACUGAGGCGUGACGACGAGGCACUACGGUGCUGAAGCAACAAAUGCCCUGCUUCCAGGAAAAGCCUCUAAGCAUCAGGUAACAUCAAAUCGUACCCCAAACCGACACAGGUGGUCAGGUAGAGAAUACCAAGGCGCUUGA
rnacentral:rRNA from 1 species